rnacentral:lncRNA from 1 species
AGAGCGCGUGUGGCCGCCGAGCACAUGGACCCACUGGUCAAGCGGGCUCGGCAAGGCCAGGAUGAAGAGAAGCUACGAACUUAGCAUUCCCAGAGCCCCCCGAGUGGAUAUCCGCGUGGAAAGGAUGUUGGCAGCCCCGGUGACCUCGGAGUCACGGCUGGAUCCACCCUCUUGUCUGAUUUUCUUAACUCUACUACGGUAAGAAGAUGCCCUCCAUCAGCAGGCCGUGUCUGCUGGGACCUCUCUGGAGACUUCCUGAACCCUGUGGAUUUACAGUAAGAUGCAGUUUCCUGGGGAGUAAUUCUGGUGGAUACAAAUUCCGGAGUAUUACACCUGGCUUGCCUGGAGAUGUUACAAGUAGCUGGAUGGAUUCUUCAGCCUGGAUGCCCACUGAAAACAAGGACCGAAACUAAGAGGAUUGUAUCUCUACCCUUGACUCAAUGAGAAUGUUUGUUGUCAUCUCUCGGGCUACCUGGAGCUCCCUCUAAAAUAGAGCCGAGUUCUGUCACCACAGACAUUGGCAGUGGCACUUGCAUGCCCCUGGCAAGCAGUCUAUCCUGAGGUGGAGGAAGUUGCCCUUGAGUUCUGGCUGGUAACCAGCACAGUAUACCCUUUAAGCGUUCCAGAAGGAUUUUGAGAUCCUUUCCUAAAUCAAAGGUGGAAUAUUUGGGGAUUUGGAAAAUUGAGCAUUUUUUUCCCCACUUGCUUGACUGUAAUGCUAACAUGCUCUCUCUGCUCCAACCUGGAGAAGCCAGUCUCUCAGAAGAACCAGUUGUGUUACUUUGCUGUGAGAUGCCUGCCCUAAGAGAGGAGCAGAAGGUCGGAACGGGUCCUCUAAUGUGAUAAUUAGAUGUGAAGCGUUGACUUAAGAGAUGCCAAGUAACUCAGCAGAUGUCACACAGACGAUAAAUAGCAAAGAUGGAAGUCUUCAUGCCGGAGGCAAUCCUAUAAGACAGCUGAGUUCUGCAGAGCUGGUAGGAGACAGACUUGCUCAGGUGAUAGAUCCAGCCAUGAUACUGACCCUAAGAGAAUGAGACGCUCUGCAGAAGACAGAAGAUUCCUGAAACUGGGAAAGGUGCCUAGAAAUCCUGAUAAGAGUGAAGAAGGAGCUGGCAGAGCAGCCUUCCUCCGCACUAUGAAAGACAUCCAACAGAGAGCAAGUUCCCACCUCACUUCCAGCUUGACUCCUUUUUAUCUCCUAACUGUGGUCUGUGAUGUCUUCAGCAAUGGGUACCUGGAGGCACAGCAGCCAUGUUGAACCUAUGAGGUGAUGAAAAACCAUGCAACUAGAAACCAGAAUGGAAGAAAAGAAGAAGCUGGAUCCUUGACUGAAUUGUCGAUGGGGGAUAGUCCAUCAUCCCAGGGCUAAGACCACCUCCAGAUUUCUUGUUUGGUGAAACAAGUCCUGAUUGUUUACAUUCCCUCGUGUUGAGCUGUCUCUUGCUUGUAGCUGAAAGCAUUUCUAAUAGAUAUUCAGAUUAUCAGCCUUAGCUCCAAGCUAGAAUACUCUAUGGGACCUUAGCUUCUCCAUGAAUUCCUUUGCUCAUCUGUGUAAUGCUCAAUAAAUGUAAAUUGAACCCUGAAUGAGGGACAAUGACA